UAGACUCGUUCUGCGCAUCUACGUCAGACGUCCUCCGACAAACAUAGUAUCCUGUGCACUCUGCUGUGAAUGUAGCAGCCAGAGUGAGCAUCAAACGUGAUCAUAGCGAGCUAUUUAGGUUUUUAUUCCAUCUGUUGCAAGUUGUUAUAUCUGGUGAUGCGGAACAGUCUGUAGUGAAGGAGGAAGUAGAUUGCUUGCUAUGUGGGGAGACCACGUGGAGAGAGCUGUCAGUGCAUCAGACCAUUCAAAUAAGUGGGUCACAGGGCUGUCUCAAGACUGCGGUGUCACUACUGUCGAGCAUCCUCUACAGCUGACAGGAGAGUAUUGGAACAGGCAGUUGCCAGCACCAUUCAGUUCAGUCCAACCAAGGGUAUUCCAUACCAUUGCAGGUACUCCAUACCAGUGAUUUCCAAUGUACCUAUUUGGUCUUGUUUUAGUGAAUUCCUCUGACAGACAGAACUACAAAGCAAAUAUGCAGUUGAAACAAUUCAAUUAAGAAACCAAAAUACAGAACUUGGACCAAAAUAUAAGAAUCUCGAGGAAUAACAAGGAUGAACUUUUGAUAUAAGUACAGGAAAAUUAAAGGGAACAUGGAAUAUCAGUAGCUGUGUUGUCAUUAAUUGAACUUCAAUUAGAAAUCACUGAAAUUUAACAGAGCUUGUAGUUAUUACAUGUUAAUAUCAUAGGAUCUGUAAAAAUGAGAAGUGGCUUACAUUAAACUCUCAGUAUCCAAAAGUUCAGGGAUUUUCUGUUGAACAAGUCUUUGAUUACAAUAUAACAGCAGUUUGAUCUGCAAGCACACAAACUGUAAGUACUGACAUUUCUCAGACUAUCAACAAGACUUGUCUUAACUUUAAUCAAGUACUUAGAAAAAGAGGUAGUCAAAACUUUGUCUUUGUGGAGACUUUAAUAUUAUUUCCUGUCUAAUCAUACUUAUUAGUGCAAUACAGAGUCAUUAUUGUCUAGCUUUGAAUUACUUCCCAAUGUAAAAGCCCUGAUAUGGAUGAAGGACAUAGUGCAUACAAAAAGUUAUUAGACCAAAAAAUACCCUCGCUUAUAAGAUGGAAGAGCAAUAACAAAUGUUUUAUCUAGCAAUGAUGAUCAAA